CCCUUAGAUGUCCUGGGCCGCACGCGCGCUACACUGAACGGAUCAGCGCGUUUUCCCUUCCCGAGAGGGACGGGUAACCUGCUGAACCCCGUUCGUGGUAGGGAUCGGGGCUUGCAAUUAUUCCCCGUGAACCAGGAAUGCCCAGUAAGUGCAAGUCAUAAGCUUGCGUUGAUUACGUCCCUGCCCUUUGUACACACCGCCCGUCGCUACUACCGAUUGAACGUUUUAGUGAGGUACUCGGACUGAGCCUCAGAAGAUUCACGUCUUUUGUGCUGCGCGGGAAGAUUCCCAAACUUGAGCGUUUAGAGGAAGUAAAAGUCGUAACA
rnacentral:rRNA from 1 species